rnacentral:rRNA from 1 species
GCAAGUCGAGCGAGCUUGCCUAGAUGAAUUUGGUGCUUGCACCAGAUGAAACUAGAUACAAGCGAGCGGCGGACGGGUGAGUAACACGUGGGUAACCUGCCCAAGAGACUGGGAUAACACCUGGAAACAGAUGCUAAUACCGGAUAACAACACUAGACGCAUGUCUAGAGUUUAAAAGAUGGUUCUGCUAUCACUCUUGGAUGGACCUGCGGUGCAUUAGCUAGUUGGUAAGGUAACGGCUUACCAAGGCAAUGAUGCAUAGCCGAGUUGAGAGACUGAUCGGCCACAUUGGGACUGAGACACGGCCCAAACUCCUACGGGAGGCAGCAGUAGGGAAUCUUCCACAAUGGACGCAAGUCUGAUGGAGCAACGCCGCGUGAGUGAAGAAGGGUUUCGGCUCGUAAAGCUCUGUUGGUAGUGAAGAAAGAUAGAGGUAGUAACUGGCCUUUAUUUGACGGUAAUUACUUAGAAAGUCACGGCUAACUACGUG